GUUUACACUUGUCUCGUCAUUGAAAUUGAAAUUGCUCUUAAGCUAAAUGUAAACAACACAAUGGUUAAUACCUGUGUUAUUUAUGGAUGUCACAAUAUGUCAGAUCCUGGGGAAACUAAAAGGUCAUACUAUGUUGUCCCAAAAGUAAUUACAAAUCAAGGAGAAAUGACGAAUGAUCUGUCAACAAAAUGUAGAUAAUUGUGGAUUGCAAGGAUAGGGAGAAAGGACUGGACACCAACACCUUAUUCCAAAGUGUUUUCCAAUCAUUUUGUUACAGGCAAACCUUCUGUUCUCCAUGACCAAACACAUCCAGAUUGAGCACCAUCACAGAAACAGGGACCACAAAAUUCUGUACAGGAACCUUAGCUUAUAACUCAAUGAUCAGAUUUUCAAGGGUACAACAAAGCAGAUAAAAGAAGAACAAACUGUUGCAGAAACACUCCUUGACCUUCACACAAUGUUUGAAGAAAGACCUUUGGCUUAUGGAAACUUGAAUGGACAGAAAACUUGUAUUUUUUAAGGGAAAAUUGGAAGCUAACUGUCUUGUGAAUGAUAGUGCAGAUCCAAAAAUGGUGGGAAAAUGAGAAAUAAAUUCCAAAGACUUAUGAGUGAAAACAUGAACCUUAAAGAAAAAUUAUCCGAGAUAAAAUUUACCCCAGAGACAUUAAAAGGGGAGAGAGAAAAAGUGAAAUACCUUACAGAUCUGUCUGGAUAUGCUACUCUUAUGCAGUUAUUUCAGAUGCUUGAACCAUUUAUACUAAAAACUGACAGAAGCUCCUUGACAAAAGUUGAGAAAUUAAUUCUUGUGCUAAUGAAACUUAGAUUCAUUAAAUUUACAUGUAAUGCAUGGAUGAAUGAAAGGAUUUAUAUAUUGGACAGAUAGAGAACAAUUACAUCUUACUAUGCCCAUGGAAUUCAAGAAAAGUUUUGGUUUUGGUUUCAAGAUGGCAAUUAUUAUAUAUUGCCUUGAAAUUUAUAUUGAAAGACCUUCAAACUUGUUAGCUAGAGCUAAGACGUGGCCAUACUUUAAGUACCACAGUAUUGUUAAGUUUCUUAUCGGUAUUACGCCACAAGGAGCUGUAUGAUUUCUUUCUAGUGCUUGGAAUGGAAGAUCAAGUGACAAAAAAUAACAGAAAACUGUGGUCCAAACUUUCACCAGGUGAUGUUGUACUGGCAGACAGGGGUUUUAAUAUCUCUGAGAGCGUGGACUUGAUGUGUGCAGAAGUAAACAUUCCAGCAUUUACCAAAGGUAAAAAAAAAAGUUGUCUCCUCUUGAGAUAGACUCAACCAGAUAAAUAGCACAUGUAAAAAUUCAUGCUGGACUAGUGCGAAAUAAAUGGACGAUAUUGUAAGAAACUCUACCAAUUGACCUCUUACGAAGUGAGGAU